rnacentral:rRNA from 1 species
GACGAACGCUGGCGGCGUGCUUAACACAUGCAAGUCGAACGCUGAAGCUCAGCUUUUGUUGGGUGGAUGAGUGGCGAACGGGUGAGUAACACGUGAGUAACCUGCCUCCUUCUUUGGGAUAACGCCCGGAAACGGGUGCUAAUACUGGAUAUUCACUGGUCUUCGCAUGGGGGUUGGUGGAAAGGGUUUUUCUGGUGGUGGAUGGGCUCGCGGCCUAUCAGCUUGUUGGUGGGGUGAUGGCCUACCAAGGCUUUGACGGGUAGCCGGCCUGAGAGGGUGACCGGUCACAUUGGGACUGAGAUACGGCCCAGACUCCUACGGGAGGCAGCAGUGGGGAAUAUUGCACAAUGGGCGCAAGCCUGAUGCAGCGACGCCGCGUGAGGGAUGGAGGCCUUCGGGUUGUGAACCUCUUUCGCUCAUGGUCAAGCCGCAACAAUGGUUGUGGUGAGGGUAGUGGGUAAAGUAGCGCCGGCUAACUACGUG